rnacentral:lncRNA from 7 species
ACUCAGGGCCGAGGGCACUUGCGAGCAAGGGCUGCUGGACGCACGGCACAGCCCCUCGGCGAUGGCACUCGAGGCUGAGGUUCUUUGGUGGUGAAAGCAUACAGGGCUAAGAGGGGAUGAGAGCGAAGAUAGAAAUAAUUUUGCUGUGGAUCCAAAUGGUGGCAUCGUGCUGUACUGACUUCGUCUCUUGUCUUCAUUCCACUAGCUUUUCACAAGGACGUGCUUUGGAGGCAUGACUUUACAAAGGUUGGAGCUGUCAUGGUCAAGCACUGAGAGGAGGCAUUUAUUAAGCACUGCGAACGACAGGCUGGUAAAAGACUGCCUACAACUUUGUCUUUUGCAGCACCAAAUACAGAGUAUUAUUUAACAUUUCACGCACAACUUUGCAGAAAAGUUUUGUCCCCUUGGAAUCCUCCUAAGAUCCCACUGUAUGGUUAUGGCUGAAAAAAAAUAGUUGCUCAUUGUAUGGAAAUUCACUGUGCUUGUGAUGUGUGUUCAAAAGGGGACUUGUUAUGCAACCAGAAACAAUCUAAUAAAUAACUUCAUU